rnacentral:rRNA from 1 species
GAUGAACGCUGGCGGCGUGCCUAACACAUGCAAGUCGAACGGAGUCCAGCCUUAGAGACCUUCGGGUCAAAGAGGGGAAGACUGAGUGGCGGACGGGUGAGUAACACGUGGGCAACCUGGCUCAUAGAGGGGGAUAACAGAGAGAAAUUUCUGCUAAUACCGCAUAAGCACACACUGCCGCAUGGCAGAGUGUGAAAAGAGAAUCGCUAUGAGAUGGACCCGCGUCUGAUUAGCCAGUUGGCAGGGUAAGAGCCUACCAAAGCGACGAUCAGUAGCCGAUUUGAGAGGAUGAACGGCCACAUUGGGACUGAGACACGGCCCAAACUCCUACGGGAGGCAGCAGUGGGGGAUAUUGCACAAUGGGGGGAACCCUGAUGCAGCGACGCCGCGUGAGUGAAGAAGUAUUUCGGUAUGUAAAGCUCCAUCAGCAGGGAAGAUAAUGACAGUACCUGAAUAAGAAGCCCCGGCUAACUACGUG